CCUACGGGGGGCUGCAGUGGGGAAUAUUGGACAAUGGGCGAAAGCCUGAUCCAGCCAUGCCGCGUGUGUGAAGAAGGCCUUCGGGUUGUAAAGCACUUUCAGUGGGGAAGAAAGCCUUGGGGCCAAUACCCUCGAGGAAGGACAUCACCCACAGAAGAAGCACCGGCUAACUCCGUGCCAGCAGCCGCGGUAAUACGGAGGGUGCGAGCGUUAAUCGGAAUUACUGGGCGUAAAGCGCGCGUAGGCGGUCUGAUAAGCCGGUUGUGAAAGCCCCGGGCUCAACCUGGGAACGGCAUCCGGAACUGUCAGGCUAGAGUGCAGGAGAGGAAAGUAGAAUUCCCGGUGUAGCGGUGAAAUGCGUAGAGAUCGGGAGGAAUACCAGUGGCGAAGGCGGCCUUCUGGACUGACACUGACGCUGAGGUGCGAAAGCGUGGGUAGCAAACAGGAUUAGAUACCCCAGUAGUC
rnacentral:rRNA from 1 species